UAUUGGUCAAUGGCCGAGAGGCUGAACCAGCCAAGUCGCGUGAGGGAUGAAGGUUCUAUGGAUCGUAAACCUCUUUUAUAAGGGAAUAAAGUGCGGGACGUGUCCCGUUUUGUAUGUACCUUAUGAAUAAGGAUCGGCUAACUCCGUGCCAGCAGCCGCGGUAAUACGGAGGAUCCGAGCGUUAUCCGGAUUUAUUGGGUUUAAAGGGUGCGUAGGCGGCCUUUUAAGUCAGCGGUGAAAGUCUGUGGCUCAACCAUAGAAUUGCCGUUGAAACUGGGGGGCUUGAGUAUGUUUGAGGCAGGCGGAAUGCGUGGUGUAGCGGUGAAAUGCAUAGAUAUCACGCAGAACUCCGAUUGCGAAGGCAGCUUACUAAACCAUAACUGACACUGAAGCACGAAAGCGUGGGGAUCAAACAGGAUUAGAUACCCUGGUAGUCCACGCAGUAAACGAUGAUCACUAGCUGUUUGCGAUACACUGUAAGCGGCACAGCGAAAGCGUUAAGUGAUCCACCUGGGGAGUACGCCGGCAACGGUGAAACUCAAAGGAAUUGACGGGGGCCCGCACAAGCGGAGGAACAUGUGGUUUAAUUCGAUGAUACGCGAGGAACCUUACCCGGGUUUGAACGCAUUUCGACAGCUCUGGAAACAGAGUCUCUAGCGAUAGCGAUUUGCGAGGUGCUGCAUGGUUGUCGUCAGCUCGUGCCGUGAGGUGUCGGCUUAAGUGCCAUAACGAGCGCAACCCUUGCCACUAGUUACUAACAGGUGAUGCUGAGGACUCUGGUGGGACUGCCAGCGUAAGCUGCGAGGAAGGCGGGGAUGACGUCAAAUCAGCACGGCCCUUACAUCCGGGGCGACACACGUGUUACAAUGGCGUGGACAAAGGGAGGCCACCUGGCGACAGGGAGCGAAUCCCCAAACCACGUCUCAGUUCGGAUCGGAGUCUGCAACCCGACUCCGUGAAGCUGGAUUCGCUAGUAAUCGCGCAUCAGCC
rnacentral:rRNA from 1 species